UACGAAGGGGGCUAGCGUUGUUCGGAUUUACUGGGCGUAAAGCGCACGUAGGCGGUUUGUUAAGUCAGGGGUGAAAUCCCGGAGCUCAACUCCGGAACUGCCUUUGAUACUGGCAAGCUAGAGUCCGGAAGAGGUAAGUGGAACUCCUAGUGUAGAGGUGGAAUUCGUAGAUAUUAGGAAGAACACCAGUGGCGAAGGCGGCUUACUGGUCCGGAACUGACGCUGAGGCGCGAAAGCGUGGGGAGCAAACAGGAUUAGAACCAGUACCGUCGAGAUCCAAGAUC
rnacentral:rRNA from 1 species